AGAGUUUGAUCCUGGCUCAGAUUGAACGCUGGCGGCAUGCCUUACACAUGCAAGUCGAACGGCAGCACGGGAGCUUGCUCCUGGUGGCGAGUGGCGAACGGGUGAGUAAUAUAUCGGAACGUACCCUAGAGUGGGGGAUAACGCAGCGAAAGUUGCGCUAAUACCGCAUACGAUCUACGGAUGAAGGUGGGGGAUCGCAAGACCACAUGCUCAUGGACCGGCCGAUAUCUGAUUAGCUAGUUGGUGGGGUAAAGGCCUACCAAGGCAUCGAUCAGUAGCUGGUCUGAGAGGACGACCAGCCACACUGGAACUGAGACACGGUCCAGACUCCUACGGGAGGCAGCAGUGGGGAAUUUUGGACAAUGGGGGCAACCCUGAUCCAGCAGUGCCGCGUGAGUGAAGAAGGCCUUCGGGUUGUAAAGCUCUUUUGUCAGGGAAGAAACGGUGAGGGCUAAUAUCCUUUGCUAAUGACGGUACCUGAAGAAUAAGCACCGGCUAACUACGUGCCAGCAGCCGCGGUAAUACGUAGGGUGCAAGCGUUAAUCGGAAUUACUGGGCGUAAAGCGUGCGCAGGCGGUUAUGUAAGUCAGAUGUGAAAUCCCCGGGCUCAACCUGGGAAUGGCAUUUGAGACUGCAUGGCUAGAGUGUGUCAGAGGGGGGUAGAAUUCCACGUGUAGCAGUGAAAUGCGUAGAGAUGUGGAGGAAUACCGAUGGCGAAGGCAGCCCCCUGGGAUAACACUGACGCUCAUGCACGAAAGCGUGGGGAGCAAACAGGAUUAGAUACCCUGGUAGUCCACGCCCUA
rnacentral:rRNA from 1 species